rnacentral:rRNA from 1 species
UACGGAGGGGGUUAGCGUUGUUCGGAAUUACUGGGCGUAAAGCGCACGUAGGCGGACUAGUAAGUCAGGGGUGAAAUCCCGGGGCUCAACCCUGGAACUGCCUUUGAUACUGCUAGUCUUGAGUUCGAGAGAGGUGAGUGGAAUUCCGAGUGUAGAGGUGAAAUUCGUAGAUAUUCGGAGGAACACCAGUGGCGAAGGCGGCUCACUGGCUCGAUACUGACGCUGAGGUGCGAAAGCGUGGGGAGCAAACAGG